rnacentral:rRNA from 1 species
UACGAAGGGGGCUAGCGUUGCUCGGAAUUACUGGGCGUAAAGGGCGCGUAGGCGGCUUAACAAGUUAGGUGUGAAAGCCCCGGGCUCAACCCGGGAAUUGCACUUAAGACUGUUUCGCUUGGGUAUGGGAGAGGAAAGUGGAAUUCCUAGUGUAGAGGUGAAAUUCGUAGAUAUUAGGAGGAACACCAGUGGCGAAGGCGACUUUCUGGACCAUUACCGACGCUGAGGCGCGAAAGCAUGGGGAGCAAACAGG